rnacentral:rRNA from 1 species
GUCUUGACAUCCUCUGACAAUCCUAGAGAUAGGACGUCCCCUUCGGGGGCAGAGUGACAGGUGGUGCAUGGUUGUCGUCAGCUCGUGUCGUGAGAUGUUGGGUUAAGUCCCGCAACGAGCGCAACCCUUGAUCUUAGUUGCCAGCAUUCAGUUGGGCACUCUAAGGUGACUGCCGGUGACAAACCGGAGGAAGGUGGGGAUGACGUCAAAUCAUCAUGCCCCUUAUGACCUGGGCUACACACGUGCUACAAUGGACAGAACAAAGGGCAGCGAAACCGCGAGGUUAAGCCAAUCCCACAAAUCUGUUCUCAGUUCGGAUCGCAGUCUGCAACUCGACUGCGUGAAGCUGGAAUCGCUAGU